rnacentral:rRNA from 1 species
AAAUGGAUCUUAGUACGGCGAGUGACCGGGAUGAGCUCAAAUUUGAAAUCUGGCGUCUUUCAGGCGUCCGAGUUGUAAUCUAUAGAGGCGUUUUCCGCGCCGGACCGCGUCCAAGUCUCUUGGAAUAGAGUAUCAAAGAGGGUGACAAUCCCGUACUUGACGCGACAACCGGUGCUCUGUGAUACGUUCUCAAUGAGUCGAGUUGUUUGGGAAUGCAGCUCUAAAUGGGUGGUAAAUUCCAUCUAAGGCUAAAUAUUGGCGAGAGACCGAUAGCGAACAAGUACCGUGAGGGAAAGAUGAAAAGCACUUUGGAAAGAGAGUUAAACAGCACGUGAAAUUGUUAAAAGGGAAACGAUUGAAGUCAGUCGUGUGGGAAGUAUUCAGCCGUCUCUGGCGGUGUAUUUGCUUCUCACGGGUCAACAUCAGUUUGAUCCGGUAGAAAAAGGCGGGAAGAAGGUGGCACCCUCGGGUGUGUUAUAGCUUCCUGUCAUAUGUGCCGGACCAGACUGAGGAACGCAGCUUGCAGCAAUGCCGGGGUUCGCCCACGUACAAGCUUAGGAUGUUGACAUAAUGGCUUUAAACGACCCGUCUUAA